CCUACGGGUGGCAGCAGUAGGGAAUAUUGGGCAAUGGGCGCAAGCCUGACCCAGCAACGCCGCGUGAAGGAAGAAGGCCCUCGGGUUGUAAACUUCUUUUUUCACGGAAGAAACUAAUGAUGGUACUUGAUGAAUAAGCCACGGCUAACUACGUGCCAGCCGCAGCGGUAAUACGUAGGGUGCAAGCGUUCUGCGGAUUUACUCGGUGUACAGGGCGAGUAGGCGGGACUGCAAGUAAGAUGUGAAACCCAUGGGCUCAACCCAUGGCCUGCAUUUGAUACUGUAGUUCUAGAGUUUUGUAGAGGCAGGCGGAAUUCCUGGUGUAGCGGUGAAAUGCGUAGAGAUACGGAGGAACACCAGUUGCGAAGGCGGCCUGCUAGACAAUAACUGACGCUGAGGCGCGAAAGCGUGGGGAGCAAACAGGAUUAGAUACCCUAGUAGUC
rnacentral:rRNA from 1 species